CGGUAGCUAAUACCGCAUAACGUCGCAAGACCAAAGAGGGGGACCUUAGGGCCUCUUGCCAUCGGAUGUGCCCAGAUGGGAUUAGCUAGUAGGUGGGGUAACGGCUCACCUAGGCGACGAUCCCUAGCUGGUCUGAGAGGAUGACCAGCCACACUGGAACUGAGACACGGUCCAGACUCCUACGGGAGGCAGCAGUGGGGAAUAUUGCACAAUGGGCGCAAGCCUGAUGCAGCCAUGCCGCGUGUAUGAAGAAGGCCUUCGGGUUGUAAAGUACUUUCAGCGGGGAGGAAGGGAGUAAAGUUAAUACCUUUGCUCAUUGACGUUACCCGCAGAAGAAGCACCGGCUAACUCCGUGCCAGCAGCCGCGGUAAUACGGAGGGUGCAAGCGUUAAUCGGAAUUACUGGGCGUAAAGCGCACGCAGGCGGUUUGUUAAGUCAGAUGUGAAAUCCCCGGGCUCAACCUGGGAACUGCAUCUGAUACUGGCAAGCUUGAGUCUCGUAGAGGGGGGUAGAAUUCCAGGUGUAGCGGUGAAAUGCGUAGAGAUCUGGGAGGAAUACCGGUGGCGAAGGCGG
rnacentral:rRNA from 1 species